CGUGUAGGCGGGGAUUUAAGUAAGGUGUGAAAACUCCAGGCUCAACUUGGAGAUUGCACUUUAAACUGGAUCUCUUGAGGGCAGGAGAGGAAAGUGGAAUUCCUAGUGUAGCGGUGAAAUGCGUAGAUAUUAGGAGGAACACCAGUGGCGAAGGCGACUUUCUGGACUGUACCUGACGCUGAGGCGCGAAAGCGUGGGUAGCGAACA
rnacentral:rRNA from 1 species